AGUGAACGCUGGCGGUAGGCCUAACACAUGCAAGUCGAACGGCAGCACAGUAAGAGCUUGCUCUUACGGGUGGCGAGUGGCGGACGGGUGAGGAAUACAUCGGAAUCUACUUUUUCGUGGGGGAUAACGUAGGGAAACUUACGCUAAUACCGCAUACGACCUACGGGUGAAAGCAGGGGAUCUUCGGACCUUGCGCGAUUGAAUGAGCCGAUGUCGGAUUAGCUAGUUGGCGGGGUAAAGGCCCACCAAGGCGACGAUCCGUAGCUGGUCUGAGAGGAUGAUCGGCCACACUGGAACUGAGACACGGUCCAGACUCCUACGGGAGGCAGCAGUGGGGAAUAUUGGACAAUGGGCGCAAGCCUGAUCCGGCCAUACCGCGUGGGUGAAGAAGGCCUUCGGGUUGUAAAGCCCUUUUGUUGGGAAAGAAAAGCAGCAGGUUAAUACCCCGCUGUUCUGACGGUACCCAAAGAAUAAGCACCGGCUAACUUCGUG
rnacentral:rRNA from 1 species